rnacentral:rRNA from 1 species
UGGGGAAUUUUGGACAAUGGGCGAAAGCCUGAUCCAGCAAUGCCGCGUGUGUGAAGAAGGCCUUCGGGUUGUAAAGCACUUUUGUCCGGAAAGAAAUCCUUGGCUCUAAUACAGUCGGGGGAUGACGGUACCGGAAGAAUAAGCACCGGCUAACUACGUGCCAGCAGCCGCGGUAAUACGUAGGGUGCAAGCGUUAAUCGGAAUUACUGGGCGUAAAGCGUGCGCAGGCGGUUUGCUAAGACCGAUGUGAAAAUCCCCGGGCGUCAACCUGGGAACUGCAUUGGUGACUGGCAGGCUAGAGUAUGGCAGAGGGGGGUAGAAUUCCACGUGUAGCAGUGAAAUGCGUAGAGAUGUGGAGGAAUACCGAUGGCGAAGGCAGCCCCCUCGGCAGUCAACUGACGCUCAUGCACGAAAAGCGUGGGGGGCAAACAGGAUUAAUACCCUGGUAGUCCACGCCCUAAAACGAUGUCAACUAGUUGUUGGGGGAUUCAUUUCCUUAGUAACGUAGCUAACGCGUGAAGUUGACCGCCUGAGGAGUACGGUCGCAAGAUUAAAACUUAAAUGAAUUGACGGGGUCAUAGCUGUUUCU